rnacentral:rRNA from 1 species
ACUCCUACGGGAGGCAGCAGUGGGGAAUAUUGCACAAUGGGCGCAAGCCUGAUGCAGCCAUGCCGCGUGUAUGAAGAAGGCCUUCGGGUUGUAAAGUACUUUCAGCAGUGAGGAAGGUGGGUAUGUUAAUAGCAUAUCAUUGAUGUAUGCUGCAGAAGAAGCACCGGCUAACUCCGUGCCAGCAGCCGCGGUAAUACGGAGGGUGCGAGCGUUAAUCGGAAUUACUGGGCGUAAAGCGCAUGCAGGUGGUUUGUUAAGUCAGAUGUGAAAGCCCGGGGCUCAACCUCGGAAUUGCAUUUGAAACUGGCAAACUAGAGUACUGUAGAGGGGGGUAGAAUUUCAGGUGUAGCGGUGAAAUGCGUAGAGAUCUGAAGGAAUACC